UACAGAGGUCCCAAGCGGUGUUCGGAUUCACUGGGCGUAAAGGGUGCGUAGGUGGUGAGGUAAGUCGGAUGUGAAAUCUCCGAGCUCAACUCGGAAAUGGCAUUGAAAACUACCUUGCUAGAGGGUUGGAGGGGGGACUGGAAUACUUGGUGUAGCAGUGAAAUGCGUAGAUAUCAAGUGGAACACCAGUGGCGAAGGCGGCGCACUGGACCAUAACUGACGCUGAGGCGCGAAAGCUAGGGGAGCAAACGGG
rnacentral:rRNA from 1 species